rnacentral:tRNA from 1 species
GGGGAUUUAGCUCAGUGGUAGAGCGCCUGCCUAGCAAGCACAAGGCCCUGGGUUCGGUCCUCAGCUCCA